GCCCGGGCUGCCGUCGCGGAGCGGAGCGGAGUGGGGGCGGGGCCCGCCCGGCCACGCUGUGCCGCGCCGUUCCCUGCCGCGCCGUUCCCUGCCGCGCCGCGCCCGCCGGACAAUGGAAGGUGUCGGCCGCCGCCGCCUCCCGCCGCCGGUCGAGAGGGCGCCCGGGACCGCGCCCGGCUGCCCGGGACCGCGGGCCCCCGCGCCGUAGCGACGUGCGGCGGGGAGGGGCGGGGCGGGGCGGGGCGGGGAGGGGACGGUCCGAGCGCCGCGCGGGAGCCGCGGCGCGGGCCUCCCCUCGGCCGCUCGGUGCUGCGCGGGGCCGGCCGGCCGCCGCCGGAGGAGCGGCGACCGUUGGAUGGGGCAAGUAUUGCCGGCGCCGCCGUGCCCGAGCAGGGCGGGCGGCGGCGGGCGGCCGGGCGCGCCCUCGCCCUCGCCCUCGCCAGCGCCGCCGCCGCAGGGGGCCGCCCGCGGGGCCGCGGGAGGCGCGCGCUGAGCGGCGGAGCGCGCGGGCCCCUGUCGUUGGCCGCCGCAGCCCGGCGCGGAGCGGAGCGGAGCGGAGCGCGGCCCCUUCGCUCGGGAGCGCCGCGGCCGGCGACGGGGAGGCAGCGCGCGGAGGAGCCGCCCUGCUCUCGGGGCGCCGCCGGCCGGCGGGGCUGAAGCUCCCGAGGGCCCGAGUCCGGGCCCCGCCUCGGAGCCGGGGGGCUCUGCGCCCGACGAGACAAGGUGGCGCCGCCCGGUCCCCAGCGCAGCGUCGGCUUUGGAUGGUGGUCCUGGCGCUGGGUUCCUCGCUGGCUGCCGGGGCGUUUGAGAGCUAGGAGAGGGGCGUUUGGAUGCAGCCCUGGACGUCCGGGAUCUGUUCAGAGCGUGCACCAGAGCAGUCGCCGUCACACGCUUCGGUACGAAACUGUGAACGUUUGCUAAAACCGUGGACAGGGCGUGGAGGAUGUUGCCAGUGCCUAACAGACCAGUAACCUGCUUCUGACUCUGCUGGUUUUAAGCAGUUCGUAUGGUCACCUCCCCUAGAAGGCUCUUCUGCCACAAUUUUUUUAUCAUUACUCUUUUUUUGAUUAUAUAUUUUGUUUUGUUUUGUGGACUCACUUGCAACUUCAAAUAAAUUAUUUACCGUUAAGGCAAAAAACAGUCACAGUUGAGUCAUCUGAAGUUCUGAGACAGUAUUCAGCCUGGUUUUGGUGAGGUGUGGGAACCACUCACCCUCGGCAGAAGAGGUGUGCUCUGUAUUUAUACAAAACGAUUUAAGCAUCUUCAGAGUCGUCUAAGUGCUGGACCACGCUGCCUGGCUGUCUCCGAGUCAGCCGCUGGUCAGCGUUCUUGCGGGUGUCCUGGUCUUAGUCUGGCCAGGUAAAUGCUGCUGUGCAUCUGCAUGUUGUCCUUUGACUCCAGCUUGUGGGCAGUUUCUGUAUAGCGCCUGGCUCCUGGCUGCUGAACAGGCAUGCUUCGUGUCUCAGCAUCGUCUUCUGGUGGGGUUUCGGUUUUUGGUUUUUUUUUUUUUUUGAAACAUGCUGCUGAGCACUAGUCUAUCUAGUGCCGUCACAGAAGUACGGGAGAAGGCACAGCUGAGACUCCAGCCUGAGCUGCAGUAAGACAGCGGAACUCCAGCUGGCUCUGAGAAUGCAGAAGACAACGACCGGAUCUCGGGGUCAGUCCUCUAAUCCUGGAUGGUGUCAGCUUAUUUGCCUUGAGGCAGGCAGCGGUACAAAGGGGUCCAGGUCCUCCACCCUUUGCAGGCAGAUGCGCAAACGCGAUGAAGUACUCCUUCCAGACAUAGGACUGCUGGAGAGUGAGCACCACUGUGUGAGUGAAGGGUGGUGAUUUGAGCCGGUGCCCCCAGAACAGGAACAAUGCUGUUGCCGCCUCGCGUAGCUCAGAGAAGAGCGCGCCGUGUGUGAAGUAACGCAGUGUCUUUGGAGCGUGUGUUUAGAAGAUGGGGAGGGCUGCGUAGAAGCGAGCUGUCAAAGGUGGUAUGUGAAACGUUUGAGGUGUAAAUGAGUUCUGCAGCAUGGGCAUUUCCCCCAAACUUGGUGCUUGUUUUCCCCAUACCAUUUAGAGUGGUGACUGUCCUUGUUGGAAGUGAAAGCUGAGUGUCUUGUCUCCCACAGGUAGCAUCACGCGACCGAACGGCAGAGCGAACGGGGCAGCCGAGGUUACUCCAGUUCUGGGGUCAGCCAGCAGCUGCUACUGCCACAGUCUCUGCCAGUCUGCUUGAGCGGAGCCGAUGUGACCGUUUUGGAUUCUGCCAGACAAGACAUUUCUGAUGAAAUUCUGAUUAUGAAAUGCAUUUCUUUUGCCAGAUUUCCCAAAAUUACGGAGCCGGGCAUGCUGAUUGAAUGUAGAGUGUCCUUUGGUAGUUUUGCAGGAAAGUUAGGGCAGACAACUUACUAUAUGGCUGUUCAGGUGCUGUGAGAAAAAGAUUGAAAGCUAUUAUUUUUCAGUUGAUUUUUCAGACUCCCCCUUGUACCUGUGUAAUUACUUUCUUCUUAAGGAAGGCAAGUAAGUUAAUGGUGUUAGGAGCUUGUAAGUCGUUCUGAAGUGCUCCAGGAUUACAUUGCAGGGUAGGUCUUUCUAGAUGGGCUCAGAUCAGAAGAGCAGUGGGAUCCUCGUGUACCUUUCAGCCAGUUUUCAUGCACUGAAGAACAAGUAGAAGACACCCCGAUAAAGCUCUGAAAGUUCCUUGUCUGAACACACAGGCUCUGGUGUGUCUUCUGCAAGAGUCCCUUUCCUCAUUUGUAAGGGCUCUGGUCCCAGGGGCAGCAGGGGCUUGCAGAAGAAGGUAAUGUGUGACAUACGCUGAAUCGGUCGUUGUAUCGGUCAUUCUCCUGAUGUUUCUCACUGUGGAAAACUGCCACCAGGUCUGUUGUUCAGGAACUAUUCUCAGACCUUUAGAAUUAGAUGCUGUGGUAGGGAGCUGAUUCUUUUUUUUUUUUUAUUUAUUUUUUUGGUCUCAGUGCACUAUAUGUCUUAGAGCUUUGCUUUGGGUGGGACGUGCCCACCUGACCCAGUGGCCUCCAAAAUAUCACUAUGAUGGGGGAAAACAGCCUGGCCUGACAGGAACCCACAUGCGCCUUAAAACACUUCUUGUCUUUGGGAAGCAGAGAAAGUUUGAGAUAACAUGCCUGCGAGCUCUGUGCUCCCCAGAACGGGGGAAUACAUCCCGGUGUGAAUGGGGCAUGUUCAUGUGUUUGUACGUCCCUGAGGAGAGCUGCUGUGACCUAUUCCCGGUUACCAGUAACCCGUGAUCUUCAGGUUACGCGCGCUCUCAGGAGAGCUGCGGAACAGAGAGUGAUCCAUAAAGUUCCCCGUAUAUUUUCUGGGUGUUAAAUUAUUUCAUUCCCUUAAGAUGUUCCAUUGUUUCCUGUUAUCCAGGUUCCCUUCACGGAGAGUUUUACCUGCAUCUUAAUUUGUGCACAGUGUUGUGUAGUUGUUACUGUAUAAACAGAAGCUGUGAUCGGUUUUUGUAACGUUUUCUGAAGUUGGGGCUUUCUUCAGCGGCAGAGACAUUAAGCAGAGAACAUGACAUUAUUCGUUCCAGUAGCUCCUCUUGUAACAAAAGCAAACAAGUCGCAGUCACAUACUUCUCUGUAAAUCUGAUUUUUAACUGAACUUGUGUGUCCGUGAGCAGUCGCAUCCAGUAUAUAAUCAUGCAUGUUUCCUGUAGUAACUGUUACCUGCUUGCAUGGGGGAAAAAAGAUGAGGAAGUAUUUUGAAGUGCUGCAUACUGUAGUAAGGAGUUGUCACAAGCUCUUAGCAGGCACUGUAAGUUUCCCAGUAAAAGUGCUUUUACAAUCACAAGCAAAAUUAUAUGUAGUUUAAAUUAAAUCUGUUUAGGUUUUUACUGGGGAAUUUCUGAUCUGCUUCACUGAAGGACACUAGAGGAGAAAGCGGAGGUGUGGUUCCAUGCCACCUUUCUCUGGGGGUAAAACUGGAGUUAAAAGAACCGCUCCCUCUAAUUCCUCUGUUCGUUCCAUUUCCCAUUCCCUGUAUCUCCUGUGGUGGCUAGUAGAGUUGUUUGUACAGGUCUGCUCUACAUUAAUCAGUAAAGUGAUCUGUGCUUAAAAAAACCCACCGUCAAACAGUUUAAACCAGUCCUGCCAAAAGAAACUAACAGAGAUCCCUAUCCUGGUUCACUCGGUGUCAGCAUUGCACAUAUACCCUCCGUAGCUCUGUAAAAUGCUAACUGAUGUAAAUAAUCAUUCAUUCUUAAAAGACUUCUGCUGGAGUAGUUUUGCAUCUCCAGAAGUAUUUUAUUCGUAACUUGCUGUAAUUACUGUAAUUAGUAGUAAGCUUCCUGUGAACACACAUUACAAAGAAGCUCAUUCUAGAUUCAAAGGAUGGUUCAGAUUUUAGGGAAAUGAAAAAGAGAUUUGAUUUCUCUGGAUUCAAACUAAUUUCUUAGUACAGGUCAAAAUCUGGUCAAGCAGCUCUUCCCAUUCUCUCCCUGCUGAAAGAGUUAAGUUCCUUUCAGACUCUUUGCACUGUGGAAUGGCCCAGCCCUGACACAGCUCUGGGGAAAAAAAAAAGUUUUCUUUUCUUUUCUUAUGGACCCUGCCAAGAAAUAUCACCACAAAGAGUUUUUCUGCAUUUCCUAAGUUUGCUUUUGAGUCCAUGGACUAACUUGUCACUCCCCUGUGAAAAGCUCAGCCUUGUGAGGGCUGAAUGCCUUAGAAUUCCCACUAAAGACAGGAGAAGUAAAAAUGGGCUUGUGAGUGGUGGAAUAGAUCCCCUAAGUUAAUACAUGAUCCAAAGGGUUGCAUUUGGGGACUACGGAGUUUCACAGAAUGCACAGGGGAAAGGAGUGAAAUGCAUGAGUUGAUGCAUGUGUGGAGCUCCUUCAGGUAGCCCCUUCGGAUCUCAAAAGCUUCAAAAUUUCCAUCAGAUCAAAGCAGUUGCUUGUGGAAAACUUCUGUAAGACCAGACUUUCUCUUCCUUUGCUUUAGUUCAGUCUCUCCAUGGAAUAGGCCCUUGCUGGCUAGAGCCACCACUCUUUCUGUAACGUUAAGGAAUAAUGGCGAGAGAUCAUUUUGAAUGAUUUUUAUGUUAAAUUUGAAAAAGAAGGAUUUCCAGAAAAGAUAAAAGGUCCAGAAUGUUUUCUGUUGGUUAUGAGGCAUCUCAGAGAUACAGAAAUAUAGUUGUUUUCACCAUCUUUGGUGGAGGCAGCCUUUAAGAAUGGUUUUGGAAGCCCACAAAGCCUGUGAAGUUUAGAUUUCAAAUUAUUCCACACUGACAAAACAUGUACAGGACUUUGUAUCCUGCCCUAGGUCUAAAAGAAGGGUGUUGAAACAGAUGGAAGUAUGUGACAAAAGAGAACUUGGUUAAGGCACAGAUGUCACUGACAGAAGGCAUGGAGAGAACACCGGGAUUUUGUUUGUUUGUUUUUAUUGUUUUAUUGGGGGUUUUUUUGAGGAGUGUCAGCAAUAGUGAGAGAGCAUCUUUAAAGAAUGUGUCAACUGUUGUUUCUUAAACAGUAUUAUAAUGUCUCUUCAAAUGUAUCAGUAACAGAAAAACUCAGGUUUGACUCGCAAAAGAUUCUGAAAUUUGAUUAGCAAAAGCAAAGUCCUUACAGAAAUCCCUAAACAUGUGGAUAUGCUUGUACCCACAUGCAUCUUUGCUGCAUUCGGGAGUUAGGGUGUUUCCAGUGCAAGAAAUCGUGCUAAGCGUGAGCAGUUUAGAUUACCCGUAUAAUGUAGCAUAAGCAAAGCUGAUUUUCACAACUUGAUUUGUAUGCUGUUGAGUCUUUGUCUGCAGUGCCCUGUGACAUGCUUGUCACCCGAUCCUGUGUUGACUAUAGAAGAUAAGAACGUGGAAGCUGUGUUCUUGUAACUUCGUUGCCUGCCAAGUAGGUGGUCUACACAAGCUCCUGAAGCGAUGAAGACAGAAAAGACUUUGACUAGCAAAAUAUAAGAUAAUAAGGGAAAAAUGGUCUUGGACUUCUCAGGGCGAUACCUGCAAUGUUCAACCCUAUAACCCUGAUAGCACAUAUCUUCAUUAUUGCAAGGGAAAUUGUAUAACUUCAACCUUUUUCUUUUUUAAUUUGUGCUUCAUUUUCGUCUCGUUUUGUUGUUUGGGUUUUGACAGCAAUGCUUUUUUGGCAGUUAGGGUUUUCAUAGGAGAACACUUUGGUGUACGUGACGCCAAAGGAAUUUAUUACAGAAACACCGUAUGUGAAGAAUUUUGCCAUUUCUGUCAGUUACGGCUUUGUUUUAGCUGCUCAGAUGGCAAGUUUAAUCACAUGGAAAAAUGGCAGCGUAGAGAUACUUUCUCUGUCAGUGCACCGCUUAACAUGUUUGCUGCUUGGAGCUUUCUAAUACCUGCUAGACACUGAAGAGGCUCCAUUGCUCCCUUCACUGUAUGCUGGAGAAUUAGAGCUCCAGAAUGUUUAAUUCCACUUCCCUUUUUACCAGCGUCUCUCUGACCUGCCUGUAGACUGAGCAGCAGUUUGCAACCACCUAUAAAAAACACCAGUGUUUUUGUAAGGUGCUGAAGGGUACGGGUGUAAGACUGCAGUGAGUUUCUAGUGUCUGUCCUUCGGACGCCUGUUAAGUCAAACAGAUACUUUGUGUUGCCGGCAGACUGGUAGUCCUGUCCUAAAUACUUCUCAGGAGCACUGUCCAAGUGCCUGAACAGGAAUACUUGGGAGGACUGGAUGCUGUUUCAGAUUGUCUUCUGUUUCCUGAGAAAAGUUCCCGUCUUCUCUUUCUUUGUUUCCGUGUUCUCGCGUGGGGAUGGCGAUACUGACAGGCCUCCCCUUUAGCACCUUUGAUCCUCUGCUGAGAAGUGUCCAGGAAGUGCUCAGUUGUCAGCUGCUCCAUCAGGAAAGACGGGGGCCUCACGCAUUAAAGCCAACAGAGGCUACAUCCUUAAAGAAGAGUCUGGAAAACUGACACAAGCGUGGGGUCCCCCCUUUCUGUUCCACAGCACUUUCAGUUAGAAAAAAGAAGGAAAAAAAAAAGUAAUCUUCACAAUGUAAUUUUGUACCUAACUGGAAUUAUUUUCUCCUGCUGCUUCUGACUGUACAGAAUAAUUAUUCUCUUUUGACAAUUACAUGGAACGAGUCCCUGCAGUAAGGAAGCAUUAUAAAAGCCUGGGGCUUAUUGCCCUAUAGUAACAGUUUGACAUAAAUUUCUUCUUAUUUUUAAAAAGGUGCAACUUUCCUCCAGUCGUGAUUGGAAACUCAGAUGUGAUACCUGGUGUGUGUUCCUUCUCUUAGCUGCUAAUAAAAUAAAGUGCUGGCAGUCCAGCUAGACAGGGCAUUAAAUGUGUAAACUGAUAUGCCAUUAGCCUCUGCGGCAGACGUGGCUGCUUCUCCCGUUGGGUGAGUCGCCGUGGCUGUUUGACACGGGCUUGUGGUGGGAGGGGUUGGCUUGGUGACGCCAGGUCGCUGUCGGUCUCUGCAGCAUACGUGCUCCGCAUGGUGACGGGGAGGGAGGAGGCAGUGACAUGGACUGCACUGCAGCACACUGCAGCACUGCCGGAACAAAGACUCGCUGGGAAAACACAGCUUCUGUUGGGGCUGUGUGCCGACCGCAGUUGAGACAGGGCGUUGAGACUGCCUCUGCUUUAUGACAGGCUGUUUCCUCAUGUAACUGUCAGCUGCUUUCCCAGAGGCUCUGCAGUUAACAGAACAGCUGAACUAUUAAUAACGAACUAAUAAUAAAUGUUAGUGUUUUGGACUAGGCAAGAGAAGACAGCAGUGAGUUCAUCUCUGAAAUGGGGCUAGAGGUGGGUAGCUGGUCACACUCCUUUGCCCUAGGUCUCGAGCAAUUGGGGUGGGAUAUUGAAUUCCAGCCCCUUUGGAGCUGCCCGGGAAGGAGCUGUCUGAGCUCUGCACCCACUGUCAAAGCGUGGCAGCUUUUGGGGGAGAGGGCAUGCAUGUAGCCAGUGGACCUGAGCUGUCUCUUGUCAGUGCUCUGCACAUGGUCACAUAUGCCAAGAGAUUGAUGUGUCUCUAAUACUCUCUAACGCAAGUUGUGUCUUCCUGGGUGUAGUAUGUUGGAUGCUUUGUCUAUCAAGCGGAAGGUCAGCAGGUGAAACAGCUGCCAUCUCCCUGACAAAUGGUUAAGUAAAAAAGGUUUUGCUGCAUUUUAAAUGGUGUGAGUGUUCUUCCUAUGAUUGUACAUUGCAGAAACAGUGCAGUCAGUGUGAGAUAGUUGAUGCCUGAUGUUUGGUCCAAGGAGAACCUAACACAGUGGGUCUAGCAUGUGGGAGCUGUUCUUCAGUGUUGACUAUGUUUAGUUUUACUCCAGCUUUAUGCACCAUGGCACUACUGGAAGCAAGCAACAAACUUGUUGAGGAGCAAGUACUCCUGCAACAUCCCAGGAAAGACUCUGCAUGAAACCAGGUUACUCAGAGAAGACUUUCUCUUUUAAAACCUGAUCAGUUCAUUUUCAUGCACAGAUUCCCGUUACUGUCAGCAGGCUUUGUUUUUGGAGUUACUGCUGCUCUGCACUACCACAUCAUGUCCAUGGGUACAAGAAACCAGCCAGGAUGAGGGCUGUCUUCCCAGCAGUUUAUUAUAUUCACUGUUAGCAUGAUAGCAAGAUGCAUGGAAUCCUCCCUAUCCAAGAAAUUAUUCUGUAGCAUGAUUUAGUGUGGAUUAGGAAGAAAUUAUCUCUGAUCCCUGCAGUUGUAAUGGAGAUACGUAAUGUCCGUGGAGGGUGUCCUAGGCUCUGUAGCUAAUGCAGGAAGAUCUUCCAGACAUCCGGCCUCCCACCCCACAGGUGCCCUCACAUCAACGGCCUGAAGCUUCUCCUUGGGGAUCACAAGACAAAAAGUGUUUGCUGCCACUCAAACUGCAUUGACUCAGCCUGCACACAAAAGGAUUGACUGGGUUUAUCUCUACAGUCUCAGGUUUAGCAGUGUCCUAUUAUUAGCCUAUCUAAAUAUCUCUGCUUCACAGUUCAGGCUCUUAACGCUAGACUACAGUGCAAGGAGAAGAAAAAAACAACGUUGCCUCCUAACUUCUGCAGAGACUAGAGGGCUCACUGAUUGUACUACUUUUCAGAGGGAUGUUACUGAGUUAUCAGUGCCCAUACUCUGUGAUUUCAGGCAGUCCUGUUUCAGGCACUUGGCUGAAGUUGUUUUCCAAGAAAUGGAGUCUGUCAGAUCUGGGAAGGAGCAAGUACCUCUUUAAAGGCUCCUUGUCCCAAGCAUAGAAGGAAGCAAAGCAGUCUUUUUCCUCCAGGUACCUUUAUUACACAGUUUCGGGAGACAAGCCAAGCUGAAUUCAGGUCUCCUAAAAAAGUGGGGGGAUUAGAUAAUACUUGACUCUAAAAUCUAGAGUAUUUUGACAGAUGUGAUCCUACUGAAACCCUUUCUGAAUGGUUAUGUUUGCUUAGGGCUUACUCUCACUUCUGUUUUCAAAGAAGUUGCAUUAUCCCAAUCCGUUAUUGUGUGGAUACAGCUAGAAUCACAAAGGGAGAUGUAAAGGAAAAUGUGACUUUUAACAGCUUAGAUCUGAGAGGGCAGUACGACUAGAAGGCAGUCACCUGGGGAGAAGGGUCUUCUGACAGGGAAGUACAGGAACUGGGGAGGGAAGAAGUGGUGGGGAGGGGGCAUGUCGGAAUCUCUCCUCUGUAUCUGUUACUCGCAAUGGUUCUGUUUUAGGUGGAUCACCAGCUGUCUGAAAGGAGCAUUUGACUUGCAAGAAGUGCGAAGAAGUAGUAGGAUAGCCUUCACUUUAGCGGUGUGGAAGGGAUCCAUCUUCUGCCUGGCAAACGGGGGUGUGCUGCUGUAGGAUGCAGACACCCAGAUGGAUGUCCAGAAUUCAUUUGUGUUUUUCCAAACUCUCCAGCUUUGUCAAAUUUGUCGUGGGGGAUUGUGGUUUCGAUUUUUCCUUCUCUUUCCUUUACAGCAAUUUUCUAGGAUUUCAAAUUCCUGCAGCAGCACUUUGAAAGUGGCAGGAUGCUGCAGGGCAGCUCUGUUCCUAUGCAUUACCAAGUAGAGCAAAUCUUUUGCAUGAUUUCCAGGACUGUCGUUUGUGGCUUUCUGCAGUAGGCUGCCAAAAACAGAGCUUGCUUUCCAUGGAAAUAUCCUGAUUCUGCCUUUCUUC